CAGCAGCCGCGGUAAUACGUAGGUGGCAAGCGUUGUCCGGAAUUAUUGGGCGUAAAGGGCUCGCAGGCGGUUUCUUAAGUCUGAUGUGAAAGCCCCCGGCUCAACCGGGGAGGGUCAUUGGAAACUGGGAAACUUGAGUGCAGAAGAGAAGAGUGGAAUUCCACGUGUAGCGGUGAAAUGCGUAGAGAUGUGGAGGAACACCAGUGGCGAAGGCGACUCUCUGGUCUGUAACUGACGCUGAGGAGCGAAAGCGUGGGGAGCGAACAGGAUUAGAUACCCGAGUAGUCCCUGUCUCUUAUAC
rnacentral:rRNA from 1 species